rnacentral:lncRNA from 1 species
GUCCUACAUUAUUAUAAAGCAUUUAGGAUUUGUACUACUGGGAUAUUAACAUUUAAUGAUUUUAGGACAACCUAGUGACUAAAGAACAUGUAAUCAUGAAAACACAAACACACUACCUAGUUGGACCAAAAAACAAGAGAAACAUGCAUGCCGACCUGCCUGCUCAAGGGCACUUUGUAUUUAGUAAUAUGAAUUUGCUUGUUGGCACUUGAAAAUUAAUGGUUUCAGCUUUAAAAACUAAAUUGCAUGCUACUACAUUUUUCUUAAUUAGAAUAGUUUAAUUUAUUCAAAAUAUUAUUACUAGUACUAUUGCAAAGCUUACUAAUUCAUAUACUUUACCAAUAUAUAUUUAAAAUGGUUUUCACUUACUUAUCAUGUGAAAUGCUCCAUGCAAAUGUUGAUAUAUCCUUCUGCAUCUUAGUUGCAUUUGACUCGUAGACAGCUUCAUCGUAGGGGCUUGCAAGGUAUUUUGACUUCUUCACAGCUCUUCUACGCUCAGGGUAUGUGCCACCAGAAUAAAGCAUAUCAUGCUUCUUUCUUUUCUUUUUCUGCACAGUUUCGACAUUAUCCAAGUCGAUUAUUGCAUCCGGUAACACAUACCUUAAUGGAAUUGGCCUGUCAAAUAAAUUACAUAAUUGUUAGUUUGCAGAAUUAAUAUUGUGCAGAAUUUAAUGAAUCAAUUGUAAUGUAGAAUUGUCACAUUGGUUGAUUCUUACUCUAAAACAAAGUGUAUGUUAGGUUCCAAAGGCUUCUGCUCCUUCGGGUCCUCCUCCUCCAUCACGUUUGCUUGCUUCACUUUGCAUUGUGUCUUAAACGAUUCACUAUUGCAUUUUUUAUUCACUGAAUCUGUCCUCACUGAAUCAUGAUUAUUCAACCUGAAACCAUUAAAAAUCCUUUGAUCAAAUAUCAAAACAGGAGGAUCGCCCUCCCAAUUCAACCUGAAACCAUGUCAUCGACAUGGUUCUCUCAAGCGCCCUAGUAUACUCUACUUGUUCACCGGUGAACAAGUAGGAUCGCCCUCCCAAUUCGAAGUUUUUUCCUUAAUAACAGUCGCGACUAUAAACAGACUCGCUACUAUGGCAAGAAGCAAUUAUACAUAUGCUUAUAUGUGUCGAUCUUGUGCAGUUAGAUCUGUUCAUCGGAUACAAAACAUAAAAACGUGUACACGUGUGAAAUACAAAACAUAAUAUGAAACAUCGGAUAUAGUUAGAUUCAGUACCUUUCUUCCCCUCGAGUGCUUGUUUGUGGUAUGGAAGAUUCAUUCUGAGCCUGUCCAUUAUCCACACUAGAACUUCUUUCUUUUCUUUUUCGGGUUAGAUCUGUUCCGGCACUCAAACUUAUAUUAUCUUCAGUUUCAGGUUGCACUUCAAUCGGAUUGACCUUGGUUGUGUUUGUUUCUUCUGCAACUGCAUCAUUUUUCCCAGAAGUUCCAAUAUUUCCCUCAGCUAUUGUAACGCCCUAAUUGUUAUUUAAUUAUUUUUAGUUGAUUUAAAGUCUUUUAUAUGAUUUUAAAUGAUUUAUGUUGAUUUUAUGGUGUGGUGUAUUUUAUUAAAUGGUUAUUUUCAUUAUUUAAUAGAAUAAGUCGAGAAAAUAGAAUUAUUUUGGAGUGUGGGAGUUAAUUAGGAUUUAAUAAAAAUUAAGGGAGUUUAAUGAAAUAAAGGGGGAGUUAUAGUUUUAGGAGUGAGGAAAAAGAAAAGGUCAUAAGCAGUUUUACGAGAAACAAAUUUUGGGAGAGAAAAUCAAGAACAAGGGUGGGAAGAACAAGUGGAGUCAGAGAAUCCGAUUGUUGUGCUUUUGUUCAUCUAAAUUAAGGUAUUAAAGUUUAGUAGGAGUGGUGGCUCAAGUGUCUUAGGGCUCUGAUACGUAACGAGAUGGGAAAUUGUUGCUAUGUUUAUCAUUCCUUUAUGUGUCAAUUUUGGAACAUGUUGUUGAAGCUUUUAUUGUCGUUGAAUUAAUUCCGCUGCAAAGUUUUAAUUAUUAC